UUCCCAGAAGUUCAAAGGAGUACGUGGUGUCCGGCUUGCACAAGUUCUUUGCAUUAGCUUCUCCCAAGACAUUGAGUGGACCCAGUGAGCAAAACCAGAUAGAGCUGCCCUGCUGGCUUACCAAGGUAAAGAGUGAUUGUGACAAGGAAGAUUAACGGAAGGCGUCAUGAUUGUGCGUCUCUGAGUGCCGGCUUGGGGAACCAUCAUGUGGAGGAACAGGAAUGGAAAGAAUCUCUAUAUAAAGGAGUCAGGGAAAUACUGCUGCCAGAAUCUCCUAUCUAAAAAGAGCACAAGUGCAUGCAGUAUCCUUAGCCAGAGAAGCCUGGCUCACAUUGAGAAAUUGGGCAGAAAGGACAGGAAAUGUGUACAAUGGAUAAAGACAUUGACAUAUUCCA